UUCAAGAUGAACUCCCGAGUGCUUGCCUUAAUGUCAAUCGAGUUUUAUCUUAACCCCUUAUUACCUGUUACUACAGUACACUGCUUCUUCCUCCUCGGCUCGUCUUCCUCCUCGUCCGACGAGGCUGUACAAUUUUGUACAAUACUUUACAUUAAUAUGAUACGAAAAAGUAAAACUUACGGGGCCUGUGGGAAUGUACAAUGGAUCAAACUCCAUCGAAUUAGAAUUCAUCCUUUGGUUUUCACUAAAACUCAGUAAAUCUGUGACAUAACACGAUCGACUACACAAUAGCGAGUGGUAGAACAAUUCCCAUUUCUCGACAUUUUUGCAUGGAGCCGUUAUAAACAAAUGUCAUUCGUAUCGUAUCCCGCGCUAAUUAUGCGCAUGUCCUUAAGUAUAUAACACAAUAAUACAUGUAAAUUUUAAUGCGCAUAAUAUAUUUUAUGUAGUGAUUUAUAUAUAUAUAUAUAAUACGUAUUUUUUGUAAAGCUAUAAUAUGUAUAAUUUUUAAUUUAUUAUAUGGGUAUAUUAGGUGCAUGCACGAUGCAUGUCAGGUGCAGUUUCACGCAUGCGCAUCCAAUGAACUAACGUAGCACAUGCGCGAGACAAUGUAGUUUAAUUAGGGAAAAUUAGAGGAAUACAAAAUUACAAUGAGGUAAUUAGAGCUUUCAGAAUGAGGUACACAGUAUACAGUAUUAUACCCUGAGACCAUAUA